ACGGUUUCAUAUUUUUAAUUUUAUAAUUUCUGCAUGCCAUCUUACCAGAUUUAAAACUGAUGAUCUAUAAUCCGAAAAAAAGAUAAUCCGGAAUCGCCGAAGUCCCGACGAGUCCGGAUUAACGACGUUUGACUGUAUAUCAUUAUUAUCGCAAUUAUAAGUCGCUAAAAUGAAAAUGAAACACGCUCAUGAAUGUGAAAUAGUUAGAUAAUCAACAACUUAAAAAAGAAAUCGCCUUCCGAUUGCCGCCAAAUCUUGUGUGCACCGUAUACUGGGAUUAAUGCAAUGUUUAAUAACAUGUUGCGUAUCCUCUGGAUACGGAAUAUUUUAUUUUCAUGUAAUAUACAGUAGGUUACGUGACUUAAUGCGUAGAUGGCAGCACAGGUCACCUGACUCAACCUCUUGUGACUUCUUCCUUUGGGGGAUAUGUCAAAGAUCUUGCAUUCAUAUUACCUUUGCCUACAAGUUUGCCCAAACUUAAACGGAUUUACUUAAUGUAACAUAUCAUCUCACCUGCAUCAUCACUGCACAGCUUAAAUUGGCCUUCAAGAUUUCAAAAGUUGGACAUAGCUUAUCUAAAGAACUGAAUGUGAAGGAAAGUAGAUUUUUUUGUGUAGUAAAAAGUAAGUAGUAAAAGGAAAGUAGAUUUCUUCCCAAAAAGAGGGGGGAAAAACUUUAUUUCCAUAUUUUUCCUAGUCAUUUUCCACACCAGUGUGAAAUUAAAAUAGAUUUAUAUAAUGUUCAGUGAAAACCCACCUGAAUGUGAAAAAAAUUGUAAAUCUUUUCUACUUAUGUAUUCUCUGAAGAUGCAAGUGUAUAACGCAAUGAUUAAAAUUAUAGUGAAAUA